AUUGAACGCUGGCGGCAGGCCUAACACAUGCAAGUCGAGCGGAUGAAGAGAGCUUGCUCUCUGAUUCAGCGGCGGACGGGUGAGUAAUGCCUAGGAAUCUGCCUGGUAGUGGGGGACAACGUUUCGAAAGGAACGCUAAUACCGCAUACGUCCUACGGGAGAAAGCAGGGGACCUUCGGGCCUUGCGCUAUCAGAUGAGCCUAGGUCGGAUUAGCUAGUUGGUGAGGUAAUGGCUCACCAAGGCGACGAUCCGUAACUGGUCUGAGAGGAUGAUCAGUCACACUGGAACUGGGACACGGUCCAGACUCCUACGGGAGGCAGCAGUGGGGAAUAUUGGACAAUGGGCGAAAGCCUGAUCCAGCCAUGCCGCGUGUGUGAAGAAGGUCUUCGGAUUGUAAAGCACUUUAAGUUGGGAGGAAGGGCAGUAAGUUAAUACCUUGCUGUUUUGACGUUACCGACAGAAUAAGCACCGGCUAACUCUGUGCCAGCCGCCGCGGUAAGAC
rnacentral:rRNA from 1 species